CACCUGUAUACCUCAGAAGCCCACAGACAUGGUGAAAUGGCACAAGGCAAGUUCUAUAGGAUUAAAAGGGGUUUCUCCUGGGCCAGAGAAGGAACUCCUGGUCUGGCUGCCAUGCAGGACACACAGAAGGCCUGCAGUCUUGCUGAACACUUGUGCUGGAAAGCGAGGAAUGAGAAUGAGAGCAGCAACUGAGUGAGCGACAAGAAACCAAUGCUCUUGGCAUGGAAAAGAAGACACAGUGGCCCCAGGGCACCACUGGGAAAACCUCUACAACAAUAUGCAACUUUGCUUGGGUCCUUAAGUCACUCUUAAGCAUCUCCCUUGCACUCAGUCCUGUAGGGGGUGCUGAGGAGGUGGGGACUGGGUUUUAAAAGGCCAAACUGUGCUGGUGAAGAGAGUAGAAAGGCAAGACCCACACAUGUAACUCUGAGCAUUCUCUCUUUACUCUUUUUCCAAGGGCCACCAAAUAAAUCACAGUCAGGG
rnacentral:lncRNA from 1 species